GACAGGGGUCUCGAGCGUUAAUCGGAAUCACUGGGCUUAAAGGGCGCGUAGGCGGGCUGACAAGUCUGGGGUGAAAUGCCGCGGCUCAACCGUGGAACUGCCUUAGAUACUGUCGGCCUCGAGGAAGGUAGGGGCAUGCGGAACUGUAGGUGGAGCGGUGAAAUGCGUUGAUAUCUACAGGAACUCCGGUGGCGAAAGCGGCGUGCUGGACCUUUUCUGACGCUGAGGCGCGAAAGCUAGGGGAGCAAACGGG
rnacentral:rRNA from 1 species